GCGGGAAACUCGACUGCAUAAUUUGUGGU
rnacentral:piRNA from 1 species